GAUGAAGAACGUAGCGAAAUGCGAUAAGUAAUGUGAAUUGCAGAAUUCAGUGAAUCAUCGAAUCUUUGAACGCACCUUGCACUCCUUGGUAUUCCGAGGAGUACGCCUGUUCGAGUGUUAUGAAGCUCUCAAAACGCAAUUGGCUUAAAACCUGAUUGUUGUUUUGGAUUUGAACUUUGCCGUGUUAUAACGGCUGGUUUUAAAAGUAUUAGCUGGUACUAGAACGAAUUGGUUCUACUCAACGUGAUAAUUAUCUGAUCGUUGAGGACAUUCCUUUCACGAGGAAUGGCCAUAGUAAAUUGAAUGGACUGCUUCUAAUCUGGCUUUAAUUCUUUAUUGGAUUAACCACUUUUCAAAUCUGACCUCGAAUCAGGUGGGACUACCCGCUGAACUUAAGCAUAUCAAUAAGCGGAGGA
rnacentral:misc_RNA from 1 species